CAUUAUUUAUGUUUGGCUGUGCUGGAUCUUCGUUGCUGCAUGCAGGCUUUCUCUAGCUGUGAGCUUGGGCUGUAGGGCCCACAGGCUUCAGAAGUUGUGGCAAACGGGCUUAAUUGCCCUUCGACAUGUGGGAUCUUCCCAGAGCAGGAACUGAAGCCCUGUCUCCUGCAUUGGCAGGCAGGCUCCCAACUACUGGACCACCAGGGAAGUCCCCAGAUAGAGUUUUGAAUCAGUUUGUAAUUUUGGUUGGGAAUGUGCAUAUAUACAAUAUGUAUAUGCUUAUAUGUGUCUGUCUAGCUAUGUGUUCAUUUAUUCAUGAACCAAUUAUUAUUCAGGUACUUUAGUUUAAAAAAUUUAUUUUAUUAAUGUGUAGUUGAUUUACAAUGUUGUCUUAGUUUCUGGUGUACAGCAAAGUGAUUUUAUGCAUAUAUAUUUUUUGUAUUCUUUUCCAUUAUGGUUUUAUUACAGGAUAUUGAAUAUAUUACCCUGUGCUAUACAGUAGGAUCUUGUUGUUUAUCUAUUCUGUAUAUAACAGUUUGCAUCUGCUAAUCCCAAACUCCCAGUCUAUCCCUUCCCCACCUGCCUUCCCCUAUUCAGGUACUUUAAAAAUGUCCUUCAGUAAAGUUUUAUGAUUUUCUUCAUAUGAAUCUGAAAAAACCCACUAUUUCUAGGUGUGUGUUUUGGCUUCCCCAGCGGCUCAGAUGGUAAAGAAUUGGCCUGCAAUGUGGGAGACCUGGGUUUGAUCCCUGGGUUGGAAAGAUUGCCUGGAGGAGGGCAUGGCAACCCACUCCAGUAUUCUUGCCUGGAGAAUCCCCAUGGACAGAGGAGCCUGGCAGGCUACAGUCCAUAGAGUCCCAAAGAGUCGGACAUGACUGAGUGACUAAGUACACAUUGGCUUCCUAUUGGUGCUGCAACAAAUUAUCACAAACUUAGUGGCUUCAGACAACACAAAUGUGUUAUCUUACGGUUCUGGAAGUCAGAAGUCCAAAAUGGGUCUCGCGGGCUUGAAAUCAAGUAGGGCUGCCUUCCUUUCUGAAUAUUCCUGGGGAGAAUCUGCUUUCUUGCCUCUUCCAGUUUCUAGAGGCUGCCUGCAAUUGUCUGCUGGGGGCUCCUUCCCUCCAUCUGCAGAGCCAGCCAUGACUCAGUCUUUCUUACCUUGUGUGGCUCAAACACUGCUUCUUCUGUUCCACAUUUAAAGGACCCUGUGAUUACAUUGGUCCCACUGGAUAAGCAUAGGAUUCCCAGGUGACUCAGCGGUAAAGAAUCCGCCUGCAAUGUAGGAGACGCAAAAGACGUAGUCUCGAUCCUUGGGUUGGGAAGAUCCCCUGGAGGAGGGCAUUGGCAGUCCAUUCCAAUCCCAUGGACAGAGCAGCCUGGCAGGCUAUUCCAUAAGCUCGCAAAAAGUUGAACAUGACUGAAGUGACUUAGCACACACACCCACUGGAUAAGCAGUCUAAACUCACUAUUUUCAGAUAAGUCAA